rnacentral:rRNA from 1 species
GACGAACGCUGGCGGCGUGCUUAACACAUGCAAGUCGAACGGAAAGGCCCUGCUUGCAGGGUACUCGCGUGGCGAACGGGUGAGUAAAACGUGGGUCAUCUGCCCUGCACUCCGGGAUAUGCCUUGAGAACUGGGUCUAAUAUCGGAUAGGAGACCUUUUUCGUGUGGUGGUUGGAUGGUAUUUUUGGUGUGGGAUGAGCUCGCUGCCUAUCAGCUUGUUGGUGGGGUAAUGGCCUACCAAGGCGGCGACGGGUAGGCGGCCUGCUGGGGUGGACGGGCACAAUUGGGAUGGGAUUAGGGCCAGGAUCCCACGGGGGGCAGCAGUGGGGAAUAUUGGACAAUUGGCGCAAGCCUUAUGGAGGGACGCCGCGGUGGGGAUAACCGGCUUCGGGUUGUAAACUCCUUUCGCUAGGGACGAAGCUGUGUGUGACGGUACCGAGAUAAGAAGCACCGGCUAACUACGUG